CAGCCGCCACGGUAAUACGAAGGGGGCUAGCGUUGUUCGGAUUUACUGGGCGUAAAGCGCACGUAGGCGGACAUUUAAGUCAGGGGUGAAAUCCCAGAGCUCAACUCUGGAACUGCCUUUGAUACUGGGUGUCUGGAGUAUGGAAGAGGUAAGUGGAAUUCCGAGUGUAGAGGUGAAAUUCGUAGAUAUUCGGAGGAACACCAGUGGCGAAGGCGGCUUACUGGUCCAUUACUGACGCUGAGGUGCGAAAGCGUGGGGAGCAAACAGGAUUAGAUACCCGCGUAGUCCCUGUCUCUUAUAC
rnacentral:rRNA from 1 species